GUGGGUCUUUGAAUUUAAAUAAAAUAAACAUGUAUAUGCAACACAAAAUAUUUAUAUUCCUUGUGUAAACAUAAUUUAAUUGAUUAGGAUGAAAAUGUUUUGUUUGAAUAUAAAAUGAACACAUUAUUCUCAUAUUGAUUAAAAUUGAUUGAAUUGAAUACUUAAUGCAAUAAAAUUGAGUUUGCAUACAAAAUGGCACCUCCUGAGCAGAAGGUGGCAGUAACGCUCAAUGAAAAGGACGUCAACUGCCAUAAAAGAAGAAUAAACAUCGUUUGUUUUGGGCGCCAAAAUGAGCAGCAGUCAGUCAGAAGAACUCUCUCAGACGGACACCACGUUAUUAAAGUAAGUUCUAUUAUUUAUUUAUGUUCACUUUAUACGUGAUACAUCUUCACUAGAUAGACAGUUUUUUUUACAAUAUGUAGCCAUUGCAAUGACUUGUAGUAAAAAUUAAUUUGGAGGAGGUUGGUGGAGUAAGUUAACGUUACAGUCAGUCAGUCAGUAAAUGUAAGGCUCAUAAAACAGCGUUUUAAAAAUGUCAGCUGUAUAACGUUAUUUCACGUUUGGUAGUUUUAUCCGAGUUGAAAACUGUCAGCUUUGAGUUGACUUUUGAGGCACUUUUUACUCAGCUGUUCUAUGGAAACGGUUCAGGACAAAUAAAACGCUAACCAAACGUUAUUCUGUCCAGAGUAACGUUAUCCAUGUAAGUAAUUUACCAGAUGAUAUCAAUUGACUACAUUAAUAAUGACAUUGCGUAUUAAACAAACUGUCUGCUUAAUCAGAUGAACAGACCCGCGUCAGUUAUUCAUGACUUCGCUACGCCACGAGCAACACUUGAUUCUAUUAGAAAAAGCUUUUUGAAAUGUCUCGCGUGACGUCUGAUAUAUUCACUGAAACAAAUUGCUUUGAAGUGACCACACCUUAAAGCUGACGUUUUCAGAAGAGAACCUUGUUGUUUUAAGAUCUAAUUUUGUCCAAAUUUUGUAUGACUGAUAUAAUACUUAUUUCAUUAUUGCUCUGUGUAUGUGUGACCUUCAUCAUUUGAGGUUAUGUGUUGAUUUCACCUCUGAAUAUUUCCUCUUAUAGGUCCAUCAUCCUUUCAUGCGCUACACAGCAUUGAUAAAUGCUGAAUUUAAAAGAAUCACUACUGUCUAAUGUUCCUGCGUGUCACCUGGACCUCCAAUCCAAAAACCUGACGAAACUCUUCUAUCAGAAAGGAGGACAGCUAGCAAAAAGACUUCAAACAAUUAAUGAUCAAAUGACAGAAGGCAUGGAUGAAGUCAGCAUCAGUGAGGUCAUUUGAAGACACCAAUGUUGGGAUUUGUGCUCUCAAACAACAUGCUUCUUGAAGAAGAGGAUCUUUGUAGUCCUGGAAGGCAUGAAGGUGUUGCAACAUCGUGCCAUGUUGUUUGAGCUGAUAUGCCUUAAACCUGACAUAUCCUGAUCUCCGCUUUAUUUUUGAGGAAAUCCAAAAGAUUUUAAUGGAACUGCAUUGAGCGUAACUUUAACGAACAGUUUCUUUCAGUGAAAGGAUCAGAAAGACUGUGCUGCUCAUUUAUGUUCUUUUUAUUUAUCUGUUUUAAGUGUUUUCUCUUA